UGAACAGGGACACUUGUGAAGAGGACAUCUUAAGAGGCCUUGUGCAUGUUGACUAGUCCUGUAAUUUGGGAGGAUUUAAAACCAUGCAACUGCAGGUGGCUAAAGGUAGCUGUGACAAAUCUGCCUUGGCCUCAGCUUGGUGACAUUCUCCCUCUCAGCACCUAUCCAUCUGCCAAGCUAAGCACUUGCUGGGCUUGUGCUGCUAUCAUGCUGAAGCAUCUGUCCAGUUGUGACACCUUGCACAGAGGCGGCUCACCUUCCGUUCCCCACUGCAGGCACAAUUUUAUAUUUGUAGCAAAUCCCUACAUUGACCAGAAGUUUAAGCAGAAGGCAACAGAGAGGUGGAAAUGUGUUGUUGUAGCUUCCCUGGAUAUUUUUGGUUGUGCACAGAACCUGUUUAAACUUAGAGCUGUUCACUUUUCACUUUCUUGAAAUGGCUGUCGAAGUAAACUCUCUCCCCCUUCAUUUCCAAGAGGGCAACAUUUGCCCCCUGGGUGUGAAACAUACAAGCAUGUGAGAUGGAGGGAGGCUGAGCUACGAAGAGAACAGGUGGGAAAUUGUAUGUAUAAAUAUUAACAAAAGUAAAUAAGAAGCAUUCGUAAUAUUUAAUUCCAGAGGUGGCAAACCACAGGCCAUAUCAGGCGCACUAGGCCGUUUUAAAUGGCCUUCCAUCACAGCACUGGGCUUGGAGGAAAGUAAUGGAAAGAAGAUGCCUUUGCCUCCUGGCAUCACUGCAGCUUCAAAAAGUCAGGAUGCUUAGAAGGUCAGGGGGGAGAUCCAAGGGAAUUUGCAGGAGAGGCUGCACAGAUGCAGAAAGAGACCAAAGGGCAGGGGGAAAAGGAUUGAUAGUGACUGUGAGGAGGGCUGCAAGGGAAGUCAGAGGGAAGAGAAUAAAUUCUGGGUUGGCAAGCCCAAUGGCAAUCUACCUAGGAAAGAAUGGAAAAUAGCAUAGGAUGAUACGAGAAACCCUACAUUACAGAAAAGGAACUAGACAGUGGAGCCCAGGGGUGAGAAAGGAUCCCAAACCCUAGUGGUACGGAUCCCAUCUGGCUCUUUCUUAAUUUUUUAAGAAUUCCUCCAUCACAGCAUUGGACUUGAAAUCUACAGAACCUCUAGACUGUGGUACUUGAUAUUUCCUUUCCAUGUUGAGGUUCUGACUGGUACCAGGAAUCGGGAGCUGUUGCCAUUCUAAACGUCUCAUUCAACAGCAAUUCUGUUACAUUUAGGAUCUAACACAAUUUGCUACCACUGAUCGGCAAAUCCUUCAGGUUUUCAUCAGGAUUUCAGCUAACGGAGCCAAAAGAUGAAACAAAAUGGACAAAAGCUAUGUCACAGCCAGCAUGGAGCAUGGGAUCCUUUGCUCCUCACUAGAUUCUGAUCCAUCAAGAAUUCGUGACCAGCGAAAGGGCAGCUUCCACAUUCCGACAAGGUUACCUCAUCUGAGCUCGGGGCACGUUGUUACCACAUCAAAUGAAGCCUCGUCUGAAGAGAAAGGGAAGAAUAAAUGAAAGAAAAACAUAUUCUCUUUGUGUAUGAAAUGUAUACAUCACCUUGAAAAAGAACCUCAACAGGCAUGAAAACAAAACAGGCUCAGCCAAUCUUAACAACAGUUCAAUAAAACAUACUACAAAAUUGCAGCUUUGUGGGCCUUUUUUUUUAAACUCCCCCUGGCCAGAUAUUGUACACAGGUCUUCUUUCAGAUUGUGUUGCAUGUACAGAUACAGUGGUGCCCCACAAGACGAAAAUAAUCCGUUCUGCGGGAGCCUUCGUCUUGCAGGGAUUUUCGUCUUGCGGAGCUCCGCUAUCAGCCGAUCAGCUGACAAGCGGUAAAACAGCUGAAAGCGGCUUAGCGGCUUUUAGCGCUUAGCGGAUAAGCGGCAAUUUAGAGAUAAGGAGCUUAGCACCUUUCAGAAAAGGCAAAAAAAAAGGGAGGCCACGGAAAAAAAUUCGUUUUGCGAGUAAGCCCCAUAGAAAAAAACGUCUUGCGAAGCAGAAAAAAUGUCGGAAAGCCCUUUCGUCUUGCGCGUUUUUCGUUUAGCGGGGCAUUCGUCUAGCGGGGUACCACUGUA